rnacentral:rRNA from 1 species
AACGAACGCUGGCGGCAUGCCUAACACAUGCAAGUCGAACGAGACCUUCGGGUCUAGUGGCGCACGGGUGCGUAACGCGUGGGAACCUGCCCUUAGGUUCGGAAUAACUCCCCGAAAGGGGUUCUAAUACCGGAUAAUGUCUUCGGACCAAAGAUUUAUCGCCUUUGGAUGGGCCCGCGUUGGAUUAGCUAGUUGGUAGGGUAAAAGCCUACCAAGGCGACGAUCCAUAGCUGGUCUGAGAGGAUGACCGGCAACACUGGGACUGAGACACGGCCCAGACUCCUACGGGAGGAAGCAGUGGGGAAUAUUGGCAAAGGGGCGAAGGCCUGAGCAAGCAAUGCCGCGUGAGUGAUGAAGGCCUUAGGGUUGUAAAGCUCUUUUAACCGGGAUGAUAAUGACAGUACCGGGAGAAUAAGCGCCGGCUAACUCCGUG